GACCUCUCACUCGAAGCUUCAUUCUCCUUCUUCGGCACGGCAUUUUGUCCCCAAAGGCCAAAAGGACUUACUGCAACAUAACCCUUCCUCUUGCGUCCUUCGCUGCUCUCUCUUGCUCACACAUAUCGACGUUUCGACGAAUAAAACAAAUCUUAUCCAAUCUGAAAGCAGAAGUGGUUUCAAAUUCCGGAGUCCGUUGUCGAUAAGUUCUUAAGUUUCGGAACGGAAACAUCAAAGGAAAGGACAAGGGCAUGAAUUCAUGAGGCAAAGGAAUGGAAAAUUGAGUAUUUAUUUUCUUACAAAUUUAGGACAUUGAGUAUUUAUUCGUGCUGCAGCUUUUUUUUUUUUUUUUUUUUAUCAUCACUGGCGAGGAAUUAGUUUCUUCUUUGGAAAUUGAAUGAAUUAUUAAACAAUAAUUGAGGUAGUAAUUUGCUUGAAUUUUGAGUACAUGGAUGCUUGCUUAUUCUUUUUCCUUGCACUAGUGUUCUUACCUUGGUGUUUUUUCCUCCUGUAUAUCUUGAGUGACCAUUCUCUAAUAUUGGUGAUGUAGACUUCAUUAGAGUAGAGUGAUUUCUUCUUUACUUCUUCUAAAAUGCCUUAUUAUAUAAAUAAUAUGUUUUCCUUCUUUACUGUAAAAUUCUACUGGAAUUGAUGUCACUUUUGUCUCUAUAGGAUCCUCUGUCUUUGGUCAGAAGGCUUCUUUUGGAGGGUUUGGAUCCACUUCUACUCCAGCAAGUCCCUUUGGAAGCACAAAUCAACAAUCACAACCAGCAUUUGGGAGUAGCAUAUUUGGUUCCUCCUCACCAUUUGGUGCAACAAGUCAGUCUGCGUUUAGUGCAAGUAGCGCCCCUGCUUUUGGUGCUACAAGCACUCCUGCAUUUGGUGCUAUGAGCGCCCCUGCCUUUGGUGCUACAAGCACGCCUGCUUUUGGUGCUAUGAUUACCCCAGCCUUUGGUACAAAGAGAAACAAAAUGUCAAUUCUUCAUUUGGAUAGAUAUACUUCAAUCAGUAGUAUUUGAGAAAAUCUUGACAAAGAGAAUGAAGUUCGGAAGAGGGAAGAUGUUGUAUUGUUGCAUGAGUAUGAAACUCAAAAAGAAAAGGACAAAUUAAUAGAGACAGAAUAUGCUUCACAAGCAAGAGGUCGAACUUCGAAGAAUGAUAAUAGAUAAUAGGAUUGUACGUAUAUUGUUGUGUCUAUAUUGGGUUGUAUCUCUUGUAAUAGUUUUUGGUUGGUUUUGAAUGUAGAUGUAUCAUGUUAGUUUUAAAUGUAAAUAGAAUGAUCGGAUCCUAACAUGUAUAAUAUAUUAUCUAUGAAUUAUAUUAUGACAACUUAUUAUGGAUAUUAGGUUCACUUUUCUGCA